GGUGGCUAUGAAUAGCAGGACCUCGGCUCUGAUUACAGUCAGCCGGGAGGGCCAGCACUGGGUCUUGAUGGGGAGAGGGAUCAUCCUGGAGACGGGAGAUGGGUCAGUGGUCACGCUGCAGAGCCGCUGCCACCACAAUUCUAUCAAGCAGGAGUGCUGCCUCCUGAGGCUGAAGACUGGAUUGUCUGCAGUCAUCAAAGCAAAGGCCUUUUUUUUUUUUUUUUUUUUUUUUUUUUUUUGCAGAGUUGCUGCAAAAAAUAAAAACUUGGGAAAGUUUCUAAUUUAUACUGUCAUUGAGAACCUGGAUGAAGACAUCAGUGAGAAAAGCAUAGAGGAGAGAAAGAAGCGAGAAUUCUCUGCGAAGAAGGCCUGCAUUUCAGGGUUUAAAAAUGCAAUCAACAUGGGGAUUGGAGAUGAUAGAAAAUCAAAGCUGUGAUUUAAAAGACCAGAUGUGGAAAUUCUCUCCGACUCUGAGUAUACAUAGAAUAAAAUGAUGUGCAUUGUCGGCA